CCCUCUCAGGAAUCGAACACUUGACUCCCAAGAACAUAGUGAAAUGUGAUACUUGGUGUAAAUUGUAGAAUCCCAUGAUCCAUCGAAUUUUCGAACGCAAGUUGCGCUCAAAGCUACUAGGCCGAGGGCACGUGCAAGGCA